UUUGUGUUUGUUUUUAAUCUUGUGGAUCUUCCUCACCGCCACCAAGUGAAUCACUAGCCUGAGAUUCGCCGGAAACUUGCCGUCCGUACUGAUUUAAACCGGAGAGAAUAUUAUGAUGAUGAUGCUGUUGUUGUUGUUGUUGAUGAUGAUGUCUCUGUGUAUUAUGAUGAUCACCACCGUCACUUCUUCCUCCUUCAUUAUUAUUAUUAUCUUCAUUGAUCUCAUGAUUACUACUUGUUGCAAGCUGUUGUCCAGUAAGAAAUGCCAUUGGCGCUGCAAAAUUCAUAAAAUGUAAACCGCUUGAAACCGCACCGCCUGAAACGCCGGAAACGCUACUUCUGUAUAAGGCAGCAGCCGCAGUGUUAAUAGAAGGAAACGUCCAAACAGGCUCUCCACCGCCACUGCCUCCACCGCUACCAACAGAACCACCUCCUGUUUGGUUAUUAUUACCACCUGCGGCCGCCGCAGCCGCAACCAUCCAGAAGUUUCCUGGUAUUUGCGCGGUUGUAGCGGUAGAACCACUGUUGCUAGACUGAAGCGUAUAGCCACCGAUUUGAUCAUGUUGAUGAUGUAAAUCCGACGUCGUUUGGAGUCUUCGUUUCUUGUCCGGACUUAACUCUUCCGAAUCUUGAUCUCCUUCUUGCUUUGUCGGAUUAUGGAAGUUCAAAAAAGACGUCGUUGGUGUGAAGUUAUCGAUACCAGGAAAGAGAGACGACGUCGUUGCACGUCCUUGUAGAUGAUGGUGAGGAUGAAGAAACCCACCACCACCACUUCUUUGUUGUUGCUGUUGAAGUAGCGAUGGAGAGAAGAUGUUGUUAGGGCUAAAAGUGGAAGCUGCGUUACGGUAAUGAGAAGGGAGAGACAUGGAGGAGCCUGAAGAACGGAGAGAGAUGUUGAGAGAAGUGAAGUUCGCCGGGAUAGUUCCUGUUCCGGUGGCGGCAAUAACUGAGGGCUCAGCUUGUUGAAGAAGCCACUCGAUGGUUUCACCGUCGGAUUUAUGGCCGAGCUCUCUUGUGAGCUGGAACACCCUAGCUGCGCACAACGCCGGCAUCCUUAUCCUCCUCCCUCUUCCGUCUACUUUCGUGUGUCUAUCUUUCGUCGACGCUCGUUUUAGCGGCGGCUUUUUAGCUACGACCACCGCUGUUUCCUCUUGCGUUACCUGCAAGUCUUUCUGCGGUUGUGGCUUUUGCUGCUGGGGUUGCGGUUGCGUUUGGGAUAGCUGUUGGUGUUGGUGGAGGGAGAAGAGAGAUGAGGAAGAGGAGGGGGAAGGUUGUUGUUGUUGUUGUUGUUGUUGAUUGUUGUCGUCGGGGUCUCGCUUUCCGAGGAGUUGGAAAGGGAAAGUUGGC
rnacentral:lncRNA from 1 species